AAAAAGGUACCAAUGUAAGGUGUGUAAACAGAUAUUUUCUUAUUCAUACAAUUUAUUGAGACAUAGAAGAACUCACAAUGGGGAAAUGCCUCACCAAUGUGACAUAUGUAUGCGAAAAUUCACUCGAAAAGACCAUUUAAAAGUCCAUAAAAGAAUUCAUAAUAAAGAAAAACCUUACCAAUGUGAGGUAUGUAAAAAACUAUUUUGUCAGCCAAACCAAUUAAACGUCCAUAAAAAAGUUCAUAACAAACAAAAGCCUCACCAUUGUGAUAUAUGUACUCAGAAAUUUACUCGAAAAGUAUAUUUAAAAGCCCAUAAAAGAAUUCAUAGUGCCUCAAAAAAAAAAAACAAAUAAGCCUCUCACCAAUGUUAAAUGUGUAUAUUUUCUCCACCAAACUGAAACACACAUCAAACAAAAAAAUUCAUACUGUAAAUAAUUCUCACAAAUGUGCUAGUAUAAUUCAUUAAUCUCUAGAUUUAGCAAUUUAUACAGAUGCCAAAAUUAUUACAGCAGAAUUCUUCUAUACAUGUCAGAUUUAUAAAAAACUCAUAUCUUUGAUUGGAUUGUUUAACUUAUUAUUCAUUAGUUCAUUAUUAAU